GCUACCAUGGCCGAAGUCCAAGGCGGGAGUCUUAAGAUCUCCUCCUCGUAAGAGGGCGCAGGUUCGAACCCUGCUGGUAGUA
rnacentral:tRNA from 1 species